rnacentral:rRNA from 1 species
AACUUCCUACGGGAGGCAGCAGGGGGGGAUAUUGCACAAUGGGGGGAACCCUGAUGCAGCGACGCCGCGUGAGCGAAGAAGUACCUCGGGAUGUAAAGCUCUAUCAGCAGGGAAGAAAAUGACGGUACCUGACUAAGAAGCCCCGGCUAAAUACGUGCCAGCAGCCGCGGUAAUACGUAUGGGGCAAGCGUUAUCCGGAUUUACUGGGUGUAAAGGGAGCGCAGGCGGCCUGCCAAGUCUGGUGUGAAAACCCGGGGCCCAACCCCGGUCCUGCCUUGGAGACUGGC